rnacentral:rRNA from 1 species
UACAGAGGGGGCAAGCGUUAUUCGGAAUUAUUGGGCGUAAAGGGCGCGUAGGCGGCUUUGCAAGUGACGGGUGAAAUCCCUCGGCUUAACCGAGGAACUGCCUGUCAAACUGCAUGGCUUGAGACCGGGAGAGGUGAGUGGAAUUCCCAGUGUAGCGGUGAAAUGCGUAGAUAUUGGGAGGAACACCAGUGGCGAAGGCGGCUCACUGGCCCGAUACUGACGCUGAGGCACGAAAGCGUGGGGAGCAAACAGG